UACAGAGGUCUCAAGCGUUGUUCGGAUUCAUUGGGCGUAAAGGGUGCGUAGGCGGCGCGGUAAGUCGGGUGUGAAAUCUUGGAGCUUAACUCCGAAACUGCAUUCGAUACUGCCGUGCUUGAGGACUGGAGAGGAGACUGGAAUUUACGGUGUAGCGGUGAAAUGCGUAGAUAUCGUAAGGAAGACCAGUGGCGAAGGCGGGUCUCUGGACAGUUCCUGACGCUGAGGCACGAAGGUCAGGGGAGCGAACAGG
rnacentral:rRNA from 1 species